CAAUUCUGAACCUGAGCUUAACUGAGAGGAACCAUGAAGACAUCCAUGGGAGCUUUAAUCAUGUUCUCGUGUCUGCAGCUGAACUGGUUCAGCCAGGGAGAGAAUGUGGAGCAGCAUCCUUCUACCCUGAGUGUCCAGGAGGGAAGCAGCUCUGUUAUCAACUGCAGUUAUUCAGACAGUACCUCAAGUUACCUCCCUUGGUAUAAGCAAGAACUUGGAAAAGGUCCCCAGCUCCUUAUAGACAUUUUUUCAAGCAUGACCACAAAAGAAGACCAAAGACUCACUGUUUCAUUGAAUAAGACGGCCAAACAUCUCUCCCUGCACAUCAGAGACACCCAUUCUGAAGACUCAGCUGUGUACUUCUGUGCAGCAAGCACACAUUGCUUCCCAGGCACCUGCUGCCUGCACUCAAACCUGGGACUGAGGCAUCCCCGUGUCCUUUAACACAGACCUUCAAGGAUAGCUUUUGUGCUGUUGUUCGUCUGUAGGUGGAAUCUAAUAUGUUAGACAUUAAAAGAAUGUAGUAAGACUAUUAGGAUGGAGAUGACCCAGACUUGUUUAGAAAAUUUUGGUGGAUGACUGUUUUUUAAUGUAUCUUGAAUGGACUUAGUAAUGUUUUAUUUUGAAAUUCAGGUAUUAAAAAUGUCUUUACAUUUGCUAUUCAGACCCCUCUCCUAGAAAGAACCAGUAAUACAGUCCUUAUUAUGGAUGGGCACUUAAUAUUGUGUUUCAUAGGUGGCAUUUAUUAUUUUUCUGAUUCUAAAACAUUACAUGCCAAAUAUAGAAAUAUGGAAAGUAGAAAUAUGAAAAUGAUAAUUCCGUAAUCAGAUAAUAUUGCUAAUAUUCCCUUUAGUCUCUACAAUAUUUAUUAGAAUUACAUUCACGAUUUUUUCACUUUAUGUAUUUUGAUCUGAGCAUU